UACGUAGGGUGCGAGCGUUGUCCGGAAUUACUGGGCGUAAAGAGCUCGUAGGUGGUUUGUCGCGUUGUUCGUGAAAACCGGGGGCUUAACCCUCGGCGUGCGGGCGAUACGGGCAGACUUGAGUACUGCAGGGGAGACUGGAAUUCCUGGUGUAGCGGUGGAAUGCGCAGAUAUCAGGAGGAACACCGGUGGCGAAGGCGGGUCUCUGGGCAGUAACUGACGCUAAGACGCGAAAGCGUGGGGAGCAAACAGG
rnacentral:rRNA from 1 species